GAUGAACGCUAGCUACAGGCUUAACACAUGCAAGUCGAGGGGCAGCAUUAGGUAGCAAUACUGAGAUGGCGACCGGCGCACGGGUGCGUAACGCGUAUCCAACUUUCCCGUUACUCUGGGAUAGCCUUCCGAAAGGGAGAUUAAUACCGGAUGGUGUUGAAAUUUCGCAUGUUAUUUCAACUAAAGAUUUAUCGGUAACGGAUAGGGAUGCGUGACAUUAGGUAGAUGGCGGGGUAACGGCCCACCAUGCCUACGAUGUCUAGGGGUUCUGGGAGGAAGGUCCCCCAAACUGGAACUGAGACACGGUCCAGACUCCUACGGGAGGCAGCAGUGAGGAAUAUUGGUCAAUGGUCGGAAGACUGAACCAGCCAAGUAGCGUGAAGGAUGAAGGUUCUAUGGAUUGUAAACUUCUUUUAUAUAGGAAUAAAGCCCACUACGUGUAGUGGUUUGUAUGUACUAUAUGAAUAAGCAUCGGCUAACUCCGUGCCAGCCGCCGCGGUAAAAC
rnacentral:rRNA from 1 species